GGGGACGGGGUGGAGGGGGAAUUACCAUUAGCAGUUGAAGUGGCAGGAAAUUUUUACAUAGGAGAGUAUGGUGAUCAUAUUUGCAUUUUAGAAAAUAAUGGAUAGCAGUUUGUUAGGGGAACAAAGGACAGAGACAGGGAGACUAUUUAAAACAUUAAUAAAAAAUACCCGUGACAGAUGAUGAGGCAUCUACCUGAUGGGAAUGGAGAAGAGGAGAUGGAUUCAGAAACUACUUAGGAGAGGCAGGCAGUCCAAGGCUGAUGCCCAAAGAAGCCAUCAAGACCCGUGCUACUUCCAGCUCCUUCUGUCCUCAUAAUCAUAGAUGAUUGCUCCACAUCCAGGGUGGAAUGCAAUGGUAUGAACACAAGGCUCACUACAACCUCUACCUCCUGGGCUCAAGCGAUCCUCUCACCACAGCCUCCUGAGUAGCUAGGACUACAGCACCUAACACCAGUACUCAGUUAAAUUUUUUGCUGAAUAAAUCAAUGAAUGGAGAGGUAAAGAGGAACCAGAAGUUGGGGUUACAGAAGUCACUGAUGGAAGAGUUUCAAGAUAGUAGAAGUGGUCAGCCCUGUUAAGUGACAAGCCAAGGACUGAAGAAAGACUGGCAGAUUUGGCAAUCAGAUGAAGUGACCUGACCAAAGAGCAGCUUGUGUGAAGUAGUGAGGACAGGCGCUGGUCUGC
rnacentral:lncRNA from 1 species